CAUUGCGAGAAUCAUGCCACUGAAUGCUGGUGGGGCAGCCUCUGACUGGGGAGGGGUGACCACAGAUGGGAGAGAUACAUUAUGGUAUCUCAAAGGUGAAAAACAAUGUGCAGAUGCUUAUUUGGCAAAAAAAAAAAAAGUAGUGCUAUAUGGCUUCCAUUGUCAUCCUUUGAAAUUUUAAAUAAAAGAAUCAAAUUUAAUGGUCAA